AUGUCAAUAAGCGGAGGAAAAGAAACCAACAGGGAUUGCCCUAGUAACGGCGAGUGAAGCGGCAACAGCUCAAAUUUGAAAGCUAGCCUUCGGGUUCGCAUUGUAAUUUGUAGAGGAUGCUUUGGGUAAAACGCCAGUCUAAGUUCCUUGGAACAGGACGUCAUAGAGGGUGAGAAUCCCGUAUGUGACUGGAAAUGUUAACCUAUGUAAAGCACCUUCGACGAGUCGAGUUGUUUGGGAAUGCAGCUCUAAAUGGGAGGUAAAUUUCUUCUAAAGCUAAAUAUUGGCGAGAGACCGAUAGCGCACAAGUA
rnacentral:rRNA from 1 species